rnacentral:lncRNA from 10 species
UAACUUCCGAUUUCCUCCUUCCCCCAGCCCUUGGAAACUACCAUUUCACUCAUUGAUUCUAUGAAUUUGAUUAUUUUAGAUAUCUCAUAAAAGUGGAACCAUGCAGUAUUUAUUAACGUUUUCUUCUAGGAGUUUUACUAUUUUGAGUCUGAUGUUUCUAAUCUAUUUUUAUUGCUCAAUUGAUCUUCCUGGCAUAGCCUUAUUUUUUU